UUCAUUGUUUUUAGAUAAGGGCUUUCGAAUGAAUGGGUGAAUUUUUCUGAGCAGUGGAUUCGUUUGGCUGAUGAAUUGAGUAGGCUUUAACAAAAGGUUCAAAAUCGGAUUCAGGUGGAUGGCAACUAUCUAUGUAUAAAGAAAAAAGGUAAAGGGUCAAAGCAUCUAUGACUUAUUGUGUUAUGAUUUUCACAUUCUUACAAAAUCAAAACAAGUUUUUUUAAUAAGUUCGCGACGAGAGCGCCAUGAGACACGUAGGCAGUCACCGGAAUCCUCGGAGUUCAAAUUCAAAACCUCGUUCCCCAGAGAUAUCGGUGGUGAAUUUUUGUGAGCCUGAUGCUUAUGAUAUUGAAGAGUGUGUUCAGCGAUGAAGCGUAUGAAAACUGGGAAACGCUUAUGAUACGGAAAACACUCUGGAAUCCAUGACUGGGAUUGCUUACAGUCCUAGAUGUGAAACCCAGUGCAUAGAGGUCGAGGAGCAGCUUGCUUUAUGCUCCCCAAGUGCUACUUCAGUUUCUGUACGCUUUUGCAAUGGGAAGAGACACAAGUGGAUGUUGCUUGCAUGAGCCCGGAACUUAAGCUUCAAAUCUUGCAGGAGCGUCAGGGUUCUGCUCUUCUUGGAGUGGAACAAAGGCGGAAAGAGAAAGAAAUGAUCAACGAGAUUAUGAGUGUGAAUAUGAUCAUGGAAAGCGCUAAACAAUGCCCGUCUUGCAAUAUAGCCAUCUCUAAAACCGGAGGUUGUAACAGAAAUGCACUGCAAUAACUGUGGCCACUACUUUUGUUGCCGUUGCAACGAAUCUAUCAUCAGUGGUUAUGCACAUUACAGCGAGGGAACAUGCGAACUGUUUCCACAAGAGGCGAUCCAAGAAUGGAAUGAGAGGAUGAAUGAGAGACAAGUCAAUGGACAAGAUCAAGCUCUACUGUAUCCACAGCGCGGCCAAGUAUGUCCUAAUUGCCGCCAGUUCAAUGCAAAGCAAGUUACACAGUGAACUUAACUGAAUCACAGCGGCAUCAAGGCGAGUUACACGGUGAUAUUAUGGAGACGGAAAGCUGAUAAUUAGUUCAGAGCAGUUUUCAAAUUGGAACCCAAUCCUAUAAAGAAUUGGUGGACAGGGAAAUGGGUUCUCGUACUCACUUGUUAAGUUUCUGAGAGUGCACUAAGAACUUGAUUUAUAUACUUGGUACAUCACGUCAGUUAAGUACAAGGACCGUAUACAAUUAUAAGAUGUGUAUACGAUAUUAACGGGGUUUACUGAAUCAUGGAUUUGUAAAUUCAUAUAUAUAUAUAUAUAUAUAAUGAUGGUGAAAUAACAUGUUUUACCCA